CGUUUACUCUCGAAGAGACCGGUACACUUCAUCGUGUCGUGGUACACAACCAUUGCCAUCCAAUGACGCCGAAAGCAACCGUAAAGUCUCGUCAGGUCUACAGGUCGCCGGCCUGUUAUGCGCCGUACCUUCCAAGCCUGCAAUCCAGAAAACAUAAAUGUACGAUGGGUUUUGAUCGAUUUCGUGAGAGAAGGUUUGAAACACUUCGUGACUCGUGAGGAUCUGUAUGCGCUACCGAGAAAUGCAAUUUAGGAGAAUAACGUUAUGCACUGACAUUCAGCAAAAAGAUAAAGCCUGAACUAAUUGUCGACAUAAAAUUGCCGGAAGAGGCAAACGUCGGAAUUUACCAGAGCUUGUGGAACUUAGCUCGAACCUUCGAACAGCGGUCUCAAACCUGAAAUCCAUCGUCCAUAGAGUUUAAUAUCAACUCUCAAAUUCUGCACUGCCUUAAAAGUCAGUCCUCAGCUUACGUCGCCGCCUGUUGAACGUGCGAAACCUCGCAUUGGUUCUCACUGACGGAUAUCCAAUUCGAGAACUGAACCAAAGAGCGGCCCUCGAGCUGUUAUCACCGUGGGGAUACAUACGAUCCUGAAGGUUAAACUUUUGAAGUUAUUUAGAGAAGCACUGUGCAUGUUGCUGUGUGGAAAUAAUAUUUGUUCAUAUUAAGAAGAUAGGUUAGUGCAUGAGAAAUUUAAAUAACAAGCAUACGUAAA
rnacentral:lncRNA from 1 species